GACGAACGCUGGCGGCGUGCUUAACACAUGCAAGUCGAACGAAGUGGCGAACGGGUGAGUAACGCGUAAUCAACCUGCCCUUCAGAGGGGGAUAACAGUUGGAAACGACUGCUAAUACCGCAUACUGAAGGAGGGGAUUGCGUCUGGUUAGCUAGUUGGGGGGGUAACGGCCCACCAAGGCGAUGAUCAGUAGCCGGUUUGGGAGGGUGAACGGGCCCAUCGGGACUUAGGCACGGCCCAGACUCCUACGGGGGGGAUCAGUGGGGAAUCAUCCGCAAUGGACGAAAGUCUGACGGAGCAACGGCCCGGGGGUGAUGGCGGCCUUCGGGUUGGAAAGCUCUGUUAAUCGGGGCGCGGUACCGGAAUAGAAAGCAACGGCUAACUACGUGCCAGCAGCCGCGGUAAUUC
rnacentral:rRNA from 1 species